AGAGGCUCAGCUUUGCCUAUUUUCAUACAUUGACGGUCUAACAGGCAGCACUUGGUUGCCUGCAAAAAAUAGCAAGCCAUCCAAAUUUGUGGCACCAGUUAGACUUAGGCAAAAUAGUAGUCAGCAUGCAAGAUGUGCAUGGCUACUUCAACAUAUGUGGAUUGACACACACAAACACACAUAUGUAUUUAUGUGUGUAUGUAUGUCCAUAUAUAUGUAUGUAUGUGUAUAUGUAUAUAUAAAUAGAGAGAGAGAGCCUUUGUAUCUAGGUGCUCUUGCAGAUGCAAGCAUACAAUUUCAGCACUUGAAGUAUCUUCAUGGAGAUACCAAGGCAAAUCAUCACAGCCUCUAACCGCAGAUAAGAAAAGGAAGCAGCAAAAAUGAAUGAAUAAAGCAGCAGAAGGAAAGAAAUGUGAUACUGAAAUAUUGGGAGAACCACUGGCUGAAAUAUUGGGGCAAUCCUUCUUAACAAAAAGGAUAUAGCAAAUUACAUACCAUAACAAGCCUUGCCAGAAUAAAGGAUGUUUGAAAAUAUUCAUAUCCUUAACAAAACAACAUGGUAUCGACUCUGGCAACACUGACAGUUACAAACCAUGAUAUCAAUACAGUCCAGAACAUUUGUGUAAAGAAAAUAUAAGGGUGUGUUUGGUUAUACUUUUUGACUUUUUAAAAGUACUUUUCAUUUUUUUUAUUUUUGCUAUUGAGUAAAAGCAACAAAGUAAAAAGUAUGUUUGGUAACUACGUUGCUAUAAAGCAAAAAGCAAUGGGAACGGCAGAUGAAGAGCUCGACGAGAGAGAAAGAUUCGAGAAGAGAAGGAGAAGGGGAUAGGGAGGUGAAAAGCUCGAUGAGGGAGAAGGAUUUGGGCUCUUAACUUUUUGGUUUGGCGUUUUAGAUAUGUGAAAGCAAAAAAAAGCAGAAAAGUAAGUUUUUGAAAGCAAAAAAUUUUUGCUUUGCAUAUAAAGCAAUUAUUUUGAUUUUUUUAUUUUUGCUUUUUACUUUUCAUGGUGUUACCAAACGUUGCUUUUUAAUUUUUACUUUUUAAAAAUCAAAAAGUAAAAAAAGUACUUUCUUAAUGGCUAACCAAACGCACCCUAAGUUAUCCAAAAAGAGGUUAACUGAACAAAUAAGAACACCAAAACCAUUACCAAAGAGGAGACUGGUUUCUCCAGGCCUCAAAAGAACAGAGCCAAGAUUCAAUAUCCAAAGCAUGGCUUGAGAAAUUCAACACAUGGAAAAAGAUGACAGGACUGAAAUACCACACGAAAAGAACAAAAAGAUAACAAAAGAGUGCCAAACAUAGGAAAAAUCAGAGGCUCAGCUUUGCCUAUUUUCAUACAUUGAGGAGGGUCUAACAGGCAGCACUUGGUUGCCUGCAAAAAUAGCAAGCCAUCCAAAUUUGUGGCACCAGCUAGACUUAGGCAAAAUAGUAGUCAGCAUGCAAGAUGUGCAUGGCUACGUCAACAUGUGUGGAUUGACACACACAAACACACAUAUGUAUGUAAUUAUGUGUGUAUG
rnacentral:lncRNA from 1 species